rnacentral:lncRNA from 1 species
AGUUAGGACAAAGCAAGCAAAGAAGAGGGUUUGAGUAAGAAGUGUCUUGAAGAAAUAGUAGCUGUUGCUCAUGAUUAUGUUUUACCUGUGAAAUUCAGAUAAUAGUUUUGAGUGUGGUCUGUGGACUGGCAGCAUCAUCAUGGGUGAGAAAUGAAAAACGUGGGGUCUUCCCUCACAUGGAUCAGUAUCUGCAGUUUCACAAGCUCCCGAGGGGUGAGUGCACAUGAAGGAUUGAGUAUUGCUCCAAAUAACCAGACCAACAAGGGAGGAUGCCUUUGGUGGAAGCCAAAGUUACUGCCUAAAAGACCAGUUUACUACAAAUAG